UAGGGAAUCUCCCACAAUGGACGCAAGUCUGAUGGAGCAACGGCCGCGUGAGUGAAGAAGGCUUUCGGGUCGUAAAACUCUGUUAUUGAAGAAGAACGUGUGUGACAGUAACUGGUCAUGCAGUGACGGUAUUCAAUCAGAAAGUCACGGCUAACUACGUGCCAGCAGCCGCGGUAAUACGUAGGUGGCAAGCGUUGUCCGGAUUUAUUGGGCGUAAAGCGAGUGCAGGCGGUCUUUUAAGUCUGAUGUGAAAGCCUUCGGCUUAACCGAAGAAGGGCAUCGGAAACUGGGAGACUUGAGU
rnacentral:rRNA from 1 species